ensembl:lncRNA
GAAAGAGGGAGGCCCAGCCCAGAAAGCAGUGGGGUUUGGGAAAAAGCAGGAAAAGGGUGCAACUGUAGAGGGCUAUCAGCAAAAAGCAACUAUUUUGUCAAGCAAAGUGUGACUUUGAUUGCUUGCUACCUCUCUGCAAGACUUUUACAAACAUUUUAAAUGUUCCUCUCUAGUGAACGUCAGCAUCGAAGUGCACUAGGACAUUACAGUAGGUGACUUCGUUUGUGACCUUACCGGGCUUAAAAAGAUGACCCGAUGGGACAGUAGUGGAGAGGGUAGUAAGUUUUAAGUUCCUCGGGGUACACAUCACAGACAAACUGAAUUGGUCCACCCACACAGAAAGCGUGGUGAAGAAGGCGCAGCAGCGCCUCUUCAACCUCAGGAGACUGAAGAAAUUCGGCUUGUUACCAAAAGCACUCACAAACUUUUACAGAUGCACAAUCAAGAGCAUCCUGUCGGGCUGGAUCACCGCCUGGUACGGCAACUGCUCCGCCCACAACCGUAAGGCUUUCCAAAGGGUAGUGAGGUCUGCACAACGCAACACCGGGGGCAAACUACCUGCCCUCCAGGACACCUAAACCACCCGAUGUCACAGGAAGGCCAUAAAGAUCAUCAAGGACAACAACCACCCGAGCCACUGCCUGUUCACCCCGCUAUCAUCCAGAAGGCGAGGUCAGUACAGGUGCAUCAAAGCAGGGACAGAGAGACUGAAAAACAGCUUCUAUCUCAAGGCUAUCAGACUGUUAAUGUUCUACAGUAGAAAAUGAGGACAACACUUCAGCGAAAACACUCUGGCAAAUCGGCAAUGACAAAGGCCUUCAGCAAACCGAAGGGCCACAGCAGGGAUGGCGUCCCAGUCCCAUCACCAAGAGCACGGCUGAUCCAAAGCCUAACGUCCCAGAGUGCAGAGUUUGUGAUGGAGGAGCACAUGCAGCUCAGCACUGGACUGUAGACCCAAGAGAGACACUUUUCAGUGACACACUCAUCAUCACUAAAUCAAAGUCUUCCUCAAGCCUCAAACUGAAGGAGAGUGUGAGGCUGUGUGAGAUGUGGUUGGGUUCUUGCAUUGAAGAGGAUGAUGAGAGAACUGACCUCAAAGAACUCCUUUGUCAUUGGCUGGCCUACCACCAAUUACGUGGCACAUCACCAAAUCCAAGAAAGUGGAAUAUCCCAGCAAUCUAACCAUGAAGGUUGUUCUCAUAAAUAUUGGAACUAGUGCAAUGGUCAUGAGCAUCCCUUCAGUAUUAUCCUAAACUCCUUGAGGGAAACAGACUGCCAAGUCUCAGCAGUCACCAACAACAUCCUGACUGUAGAUGGGAGCCUCUAUCUUGAUCACCUUCUCAAAGAUGCUUCCGGCCCAAACUUCAUCCUCAGGCUAAAGGCUGAUGUGGGAGGACUUGGCCGAGCAGGUUGCAGCUCUCGUUCAACAUCUCAUUGAAAACACCCCAGCCAUUUUUGGUGAAGAUGUUGAGUGCAUUUUUACUGAGCCAAAGAAAGAACAAGGAACUGCAGAGGAUGUCAUGGUGGAGUCUUACCAGCAGGUCGACUCGUCUGAUUAUUGGGACUGAGAGAAGCAAGAAGGACUUCACUCUCCUAACAGGGAACCUUUUUCCUGCCAUUGGAGAAACUGGUCUUGAAAGAGAUUUUGGGGCUUCUGAAUGAGGUUGACUCCUUGAAAAAGCAACAUGUGACUGAGGACAGUGCUUAUAGCUGUGGGAAUCUAGACUUAAUGUCUUCCCUCUCCAGUAGGUCUAUCUGCUCCCUGAUGGGGACACAACGUUUUUGCUCAGCUCGCUGCUCCUCGCUGCUCCCAUUGUGUGUCUAAGCUCCCCCCGGUUAGGGUCCCACAGCCAGCUCUACACUCUUGUCGCCCGCCAGUCCAGCUGCGAUGCAGCAGUGAUGUGUGGCCGUGCAGACCACUCCCAACACACACACACAAAUCCCACACUUAAGGGGCUACUAAAGUGGGACAGCAGCCCCAGGGUAGGUGGCAGCAAGUCUAGGUAUGCCUUCUGGAGGUCCCCUCAUGUAGCCUCGAGGUUCUGGCACCUUUCCCAGAGGCUGGCCGUGUCCAACAGGUCCAGUUUCUCCAGCCUGUCCUCCACAGGCACCUCUCCAUCUACCUCCUCUCUGAGCUCCAAAGACAGCGCCUUCUCCUUCUGCACCGACUCUGUGUCCUCUCCCAACGAGCCCAACUCCCUCCCCUUCCUGUUCGGCAUGUCGGCACGGUUAUGCCCUCUCACUCCAGACACCACAAAGAAAUUCCCAAAAGAUUGGAGUAUGACAUUCCCAGUGGCAGUUGCUCAGGCACCCAAGGAUUUGGACGGGUAUAAUUGGUCUGAUGAGAGAAAGGGAGACUAGAAGCAUUGCCAUUCUAUUAGCAUUCAGAAUAGAGAAGACCACCAGAUGCUCACCCAAAGCCUCUGUAGUUUAAAAGGUGAGUAUAUUUAAAGCCCUGUCUCUCAACCAGACAGUGAAAGGAUUCUCUCUGAUUGGAGAGGGGAGCAGGUGCACCAGAGCCAGAAGGAUAAAGUGUUCAAGUUGUCAGAGUCAAAAGGACAGACCAAAGAAACAUCCAUUGCACACAUACAGCUGACAAAUAAAAAAAACUGUCUGUCAAGAAGGAAGGGGACGAAAGGGGACGAAAAUUACAUUUUACACCUCCUCUAACAGAAUGCUGGUGAAAAAACAGUCUGAUCAAUCUGUGGAACAGUGUGGAGUCGCUCUGGUAUCUGACACAGGGAGACCACAUCAGGAAAAUGGGGAACUGCUGGCCCAAAGUGUGCAGCUCCACAUACCCCAGACAGUGUCCUAUGGUCAAAACACUCCACUGGUCCUGCAGUCUGUCAACCAGACAAUUUGCAAAUAACAAGAAAGGAUCAAAGGCCAAAACAGAUAUUCACCUUGGUGAAGUGGUCCCUGAACAGUUGGGUGGUGGGUGCACUCCUCUCUCCCACACAUCAUCUAAAACUCAUGCCAAAACUGCAAGCACAAUCAGCCACAAGACUGCAAGCACAAUCAGCCACAAGACUGCAAGCACAAUCAGCCACAAAACCGCAUGUGCAAUCAGCCACACUAUUAGAAUAAAACUGCAAGCAACUGUCAGAAAUACUGUGAGAGAAUACUUCAACUCAAGUGACAGCCAGAAUGGCCACUUAGAUGCAAAACGGAACGAAAAAGAGCUCCUCCAGUGGCAAAAUAAAAUGUUGGAACCAACAGAAAAUGCCACAAUGCGAUCACAUGGUGAGGAGUUGCCUGAUUGUUAAUGCUCAUCAUUUGGUGUUUUGUAAUGGGCUGUCAGAAUGUAGAUCAUCCUGGGUUAUUUCACCCUCCUCUGUGUGUGUAUUUUUUGCUAAAUUAUAAAUUAAGUCAAUGAAGGAUCCCACUGGGCAUAGACAUCAGUUCAAAGUCUAAUUUUGAUUAACUUUAAGUUGAGUUGUCAUCUAAGGUGAAUUCAACAUGAAAUCAAGAAAACAUUUCACCAUGUCAUUGGAUUUAGGUUCAAAAUUAGGUUCGAAAUUAGGUUCGAAAUUAUCUUAUAUUGAUGACUUUUUGCAAAUCCAAUCAGUUUUUACACAUGGAUUCAACAUCAUCACAUUUCAUUUUUUGGUUGAAAUUAUGUGGAAACAACAUUGAUUCAACCAGUUUUUGCCCAGUUGGAUGGUGCAGAUUGAAUGCAGGCACUCAAACCACUCAGACAGAGCAUUUCCUCCAAUGGAGUAGGGAUUCAUAACCUUAAUCAUUUUCUAUACAGAAGCAUUAUGAAUAAGGACCAGACAUCUUGACAUCACUGUGAUGUAUGUGUUUCCUAAUGGGGCUGUGAUAAUCUGUCGGUGAAAAAGUAAAAACAACCAAAUUUGAGGCAAAUUAGGUAUAAGAUGCACAACUUGUAUAUGGGCAAACACAUCUUAUAUUCAGUAGUUCUUCUCGGGUGUAUGUAAAGAAACCUAAGAUGACCUGGGGUACUAGUGUAAGAAAUAACACGUAAAAAAACAAAAAACUGCAUAGUUUCCUAGGAACGCGAAGCGAGGCGGCCAUCUCUGUCGGCGCCGGAAGCGAGAUUGUAUGGUGUGCAACACAUAUUCCUGCUGUAUAGUUAACAUCUGGUUAAUAAGUAAUCACCUACUUCUCACUUUUAUUGCUAAAGAAAAAUGACCAACGUAAAUCACAUUGCAUAUAGUGAGUUAAAAUGUUUGUUUUGUUUUUGCACAGUUCAGUGCUAUUUUGCAUUUGCAAAAUGAAGCCUCAUGUAUAGAUCUCAUUUAGACGCAUUGAUAUAACGGUCUUAAACACAUAAUAACAUAUACUGUACCACUUUUACCACAUCAUUGUUUGUUUUUAUGUAUGUUUUAUCCUAGAACUGUAACUUUGAACAAUAAUCAUAUGUAGCGUUAACCUUGAUAUCAACGUGUGUGUGUGUGUGUGUGUGUGUGUGUGUGUGUGGGGGGAUUUGCACCUCUUCACCCCUGUACGAGCUUAUGUUGAUGGCACCACUGAUAAUAAAUCAAGUUAGCCCUAAACAUCUCUGAAUCUCUGAGUAUGUUUUCCCAUGCCUUCUCAGUCCCAGGGUCCUAGGCAUAAUGUUUCCUUUUAUUUCUUUAUUGAGUUUAUUUAUUGAGUUUAUUUGAGCAAGGACAAUGUACAUCAGAAGCAUUAGUCUCAGUACACUUGAGAAAAUAUGUGUUGUAUCAGAUUUAGCUAGCAGCUCAUUUCCGUCUGCAGUUCCAGGGCAGGUUAAAAUCAAAACAAGAAAACAUUAUGAAGCCAGCAGGCUGGAUGCCUUGUUACAGAGCUACAAACAAUGAUUUGUAACACUUAACUUACUAUUUCUAAUUACAGAAAUGACUUCUAAAGGCAUGCUACUUUAGGCAAUGGCCCGCUGCUGGCAGUAUUUUCUUUUUAAUGCUAUGUACCGUUAACAUGUAAUUGCUACAACUGAUUCUACAACCGAACCUACUUCAAGCUAGUUGAUUGAUAGGGCAAAGGGUAGUGAUAUGUUCCUGAGUGAUAUGUUCCUGGGGAUGUUUGAUUAUUAUUAGACUUCGUACAAUAGGUGCGAGGGGCAGCAAGUUGCAUGAAGGAUCACUGGCUGCCUUUAGAUCCCACAGCGUCCCUCAACUAUUGGGGCACGUGGACAGUCAUACCAUCCAUCCACUUCUGCACUGUCACAUGGCAACCAAGAUGGGACCUGUCAAUCAGAAGCAGAUUAAAAGGCUCAGACAUAUAGUUUCAGAAGCAGAUUAGGCUCAGACAGAUAGUUUCAGAGCAUUUACAUAGACAACUUCAGAUUUGUUUUAAACUGAAUUACUGAAUUUACUGCAACCUGUUGCUUCUACGUCAGUUCAGCAGUCAGGCCCUGUCUGGAGUAAAUCAAGAAAAUAUGUGUGUGCUUGUUUUGCUGGGGCCUUGAUCAAGUAUGUAAAUCAUAACAUUUCGACAAGCAAACACAUGUAAAUUGUUUAUGUAACCUAGUACCAUCAUCUUUGAAAUGCAAGAGAAAGGCCAUAGUGUAUUAUUCCAGCCCAGGUACAAUUUAGAUUUUAGCCACUAGAUGGUAUAGGUGUAUGUGCAAAGCUUUAAACUGAUCCAAUGAACCAUUUCAUUUCUGAUUAAAAUGUUGUAUCAAGAGUGCCCAAAUGUGCCUAAUUUGUUCAUUAGUAACUUUUCAUGUUCAAAAUUGUGCACUCUCCUCAAGCAAUAGAAUGGUAUUAUGUCAGUGUAAUAGCUACUGUAAAAUGGACAGUGCAGUUAGAUUAACA